rnacentral:sRNA from 1 species
AUCCUCGAUCUGCUGGGGGCAGAUGAAAUGGAUAUGGCUGUCGAUGCCGCCUGCGGUCAGGAUACGGCCUUCACCGGCGAUGGCCUCGGUGCCGGGGCCGAUGAUGAUAUUCACACCCGGCUGCGUAUCGGGAUUGCCCGCCUUGCCGAUGGCCACGAUACGCCCGUCUUUGAGGCCGACAUCGGCCUUGAUGAUGCCGGUCCAAUCCACGAUCAGCGCAUUGGUGAUGACCGUAUCCACCGCGCCCGCGGCCCGCGUGACCUGGCUCUGGCCCAUACCGUCGCGGAU